UACGGAGGGGGCGAGCGUUGUUCGGAAUUACUGGGUGUAAAGGGUGCGUAGGCGGCGCAGCAAGUUGGGGGUGAAAUCCCGAGGCUCAACCUCGGAAUUGCCUUCAAAACUGCUGUGCUCGAGUUCGGAAGAGGUGAGUGGAAUUCCCAGUGUAGGGGUGAAAUUCGUAGAGAUUGGGAAGAACACCAGUGGCGAAGGCGGCUCACUGGUCCGCAACUGACGCUCAGGCACGAAAGCGUGGGGAGCAAACAGG
rnacentral:rRNA from 1 species